rnacentral:tRNA from 1 species
GGUGCUGUGGCCUUGUGGUUAAGAGUGUUUAAACUGAAGCUGGAAGGUCGUGGGUUCAAUGCCCACCGGGCCA